UACGAAGGGUGCAAGCGUUAAUCGGAAUUACUGGGCGUAAAGCGUGCGCAGGCGGUUUGUUAAGUCUGCUGUGAAAUCCCCGAGCUCAACUUGGGAAUUGCAGUGGAUACUGGCAAGCUGGAGUACGGUAGAGGAAGGUGGAAUUCCCGGUGUAGCAGUGAAAUGCGUAGAGAUCGGGAGGAACACCAGUGGCGAAGGCGGCCUUCUGGGCCGGUCCUGACGCUGAGGCGCGAAGGCGUGGGGAGCGAACGGG
rnacentral:rRNA from 1 species